rnacentral:rRNA from 1 species
GUGCCAGCAGCCGCGGUAAUACAGAGGUCUCAAGCGUUGUUCGGAAUCACUGGGCGUAAAGGGUGCGUAGGCCGCACGGUAAGUCAGAGGUGAAAUCCCGGAGCUCAACUCCGGAAUGGCCUCCGAUACUGCCGUGCUCGAGGACUGGAGAGGAGUCUGGAAUUCACAGUGGAGCAGUGAAAUGCGUAGAUAUUGUGAGGAACACUAGUGGCGAAGGCGAGACUCUGGACAGUUCCUGACGCUGAGGCACGAAGGCCAGGGGAGCAAACGGGAUUAGAUACCCCCGUAGUCC